UACAGAGGUCUCAAGCGUUGUUCGGAUUCAUUGGGCGUAAAGGGUGCGUAGGCGGCGCGGUAAGUCGGAUGUGAAAUCUCGGAGCUUAACUCCGAAACUGCAUUCGAUACUGCCGUGCUUGAGGACUGGAGAGGAGACUGGAAUUUACGGUGUAGCGGUGAAAUGCGUAGAUAUCGUAAGGAAGACCAGUGGCGAAGGCGGGUCUCUGGACAGUUCCUGACGCUGAGGCACAAAGGCCAGGGGAGCAAACGGG
rnacentral:rRNA from 1 species